ensembl:lncRNA
GCUGAGUGGGGAAGGCGGGGGGAGGGGGCGCUGGCGGGCGACAACCUCGCGGAGCGCGGGAGCUCUCAGCGGAGAGGCCUCCUGAGGGCGUCUAAAAAUAGGCCUCCGUCCCCCUGCAGGCACGGCCGAGAGCCUGAGCGAGGAGAGGCGGAGAGCGAGGGAGGGGCGGCGGACGGGGUCGUGUGAGGCCGCGCGGGCGGGGCCCGGCCCGGCAGACAAAGGAGCCGCGCGUGGCCGUUUCUCUUCAGAGCUCUCCUCACUGCCGUGCCCGGAGCGCGGCUCGCGGGUGCGCCCGCAUAACGACAAAUAGAUACACGCACAUAUCGUCAGGAGCCGGACUUGUGAAAAUCGGGGAACAGAACCUUUUUUUGGCGAUUGCAGAAAAGAAUUCUCCAUUUUCCGCGUGCCUCACAGUCGGGAACCUGAGCCCAUGUGUCACAGACACGAUUUGACUGCAACAGCGCUGCAGCAUCUGAGGAGGGGAAGGUGGUGUUGCAGGACGUGCUGCAGAGCCUCAUAAGAUGCGGCGGUGAUUGCGUUAUUUGAAUUCCUGUGCGUGCAAAGCGUUUACACCGCGGCUUCCGGAAGGAUAACUUUCAUUGUGAUUCUCCAUAGGUGCUACGUGAAACAAUAAAGGAAAUGGGGCUUAACGAGCUGUUUACUUUUGAGCGAGCACGUGCUAACAAACGGCCUGUUUCUGGAAAGUGGUCGCUGCUCGCUGUGAUGUCUGUGGGUGCUGCACAGCACGAGCCCGGGCUCAGCCGUUCCAUGUGGGGCAUGGGCGGGGGGGGGGGGGGGGCACACUGCCGCAAGGCCUGCUCGCCCCUCUGCUCUUCAGAUCCUACUGAAAAAGAGAAAAAAACCAAAAAACAAGUCAGUACAUUCUUCUGCCUGUGUGGAGGACAGCAGUAAAGUGUCUCAGAGGCACCGAUUUUUCUCCUUCGAGGGGGUUCCUGUGAAACGUGAGGGAAAAAGGCAGCCUUCCAGGUAAAUAGGUGGAGGAGGUUUAAUUAAAUCCGGAAGGCGUAGCUGCACCCGUGGGUAUACAAUGCCCUGUCUUAAAAUAAGCUGAAUAAGCAACAGUUCCUAAUAGCAGCCGAGGAAACUUGAAUGGUGGGUGUAUUUUGGAUGCAAGAUGCCAAUACAAUUUCAGUAAGGUCAGCUGUGCCCUGACAGCUUCCUGUUGCUUGCCCUCUGAUUUGUAGGUUAUCCUCACGGGUACAGGGUGACCUUUCAGCCUGGACUGAAGUGAAAUGGUCACCUUUGUGCUGGUGCCUUGGUCCCACACAAUGCUGUCUUCAGCUGCCAGCAAGGAUGAGGCCGAGCACUGAGCUCCUUGCAGGUGUGAUGGAGUUUGAGCAAUAAUGCAGAGCAGUGCCACCUGCAAGUGGGAGACUGGGUGUCCUGUAGGCAGCAGCUACAACAGUAACAGCAGUAAUGGGUGGAGUUGGAAGAGUCAAGCAAGGAGUGGUAAGUUCAAAGGUGGUCUGACCAGAACAGAGGAGAUAAAGCCUAUGGGACAGGAGAGAAGAUCCUAGCUCAGGUGGGAAAAGCCACUGCCGAGGCACUAGGUGCUAAUAAUCUCAGACAACCAAAAUGAGUUACUAAAGGCAAAUGAAAC